GGGUUGUGAGGUUAAGCGACUAAGCGUACACGGUGGAUGCCCUGGCAGUCAGAGGCGAUGAAGGGCGUGCUAAUCUGCGAUAAGCGCCGGUAAGGUGAUAUGAACCGUUAUAACCGGCGAUACCCGAAUGGGGAAACCCAGUGUGAUUCGUCACACUAUCAUUAACUGAAUCCAUAGGUUAAUGAGGCGAACCGGGGGAACUGAAACAUCUAAGUACCCCGAGGAAAAGAAAUCAACCGAGAUUCCCCCAGUAGCGGCGAGCGAACGGGGAGGAGCCCAGAGCCUGAAUCAGCAUGUGUGUUAGUGGAAGCGUCUGGAAAGGCGCGCGAUACAGGGUGACAGCCCCGUACACAAAAGCGCAUGUGCUGUGAGCUCGAUGAGUAGGGCGGGACACGUGGUAUCCUGUCUGAAUAUGGGGGGACCAUCCUCCAAGGCUAAAUACUCCUGACUGACCGAUAGUGAACCAGUACCGUGAGGGAAAGGCGAAAAGAACCCCGGCGAGGGGAGUGAAAAAGAACCUGAAACCGUGUACGUACAAGCAGUGGGAGCCCCACCACUAAGCCAGUGGUGAACUCCACAUACGCAUCCUUUGCUGAGGAUACGGUUAACGGAGCGAAAGCGAUGUUCAACCGCAAAACAAGCAGAGGGGGCUUAGUGGUGGGGUGACUGCGUACCUUUUGUAUAAUGGGUCAGCGACUUAUAUUCUGUAGCAAGGUUAACCGUAUAGGGGAGCCGGAGGGAAACCGAGUCUUAACCGGGCGUUAAGUUGCAGGGUAUAGACCCGAAACCCGGUGAUCUAGCCAUGGGCAGGUUGAAGGUUGGGUAACACUAACUGGAGGACCGAACCGACUAAUGUUGAAAAAUUAGCGGAUGACCUGUGGCUGGGGGUGAAAGGCCAAUCAAACCGGGAGAUAGCUGGUUCUCCCCGAAAGCUAUUUAGGUAGCGCCUCGUGAAUUCAUCUCCGGGGGUAGAGCACUGUUUCGGCUAGGGGGCCAUCCCGGCUUACCAACCCGAUGCAAACUGCGAAUACCGGAGAAUGUUAUCACGGGAGACACACGGCGGGUGCUAACGUCCGUCGUGAAGAGGGAAACAACCCAGACCGCCAGCUAAGGUCCCAAAGUCAUGGUUAAGUGGGAAACGAUGUGGGAAGGCCCAGACAGCCAGGAUGUUGGCUUAGAAGCAGCCAUCAUUUAAAGAAAGCGUAAUAGCUCACUGGUCGAGUCGGCCUGCGCGGAAGAUGUAACGGGGCUAAACCAUGCACCGAAGCUGCGGCAGCGACACUAUGUGUUGUUGGGUAGGGGAGCGUUCUGUA
rnacentral:rRNA from 1 species